GCUUUAUCAGUAAUCGAUUUACACUUGCCUUCCAAGCAAGAAUCUUAAUUAACUUUAAAUAAUGCA
rnacentral:tRNA from 1 species